CCUACGGGGUGCAGCAGUCGAGAAUCAUUCACAAUGGGGGAAACCCUGAUGGUGCGACGCCGCGUGGGGGAAUGAAGGUCUUCGGAUUGUAAACUCCUGUCAUGUGGGAGCAAAUUAAAAAGAUAGUACCACAAGAGGAAGAGACGGCUAACUCUGUGCCAGAAGCCGCGGUAAUACAGAGGGCUCACGCGUUGUUCGGAAUCACGGGGCGUAAAGCGUGCGUAGGCUGUUUCGUAAGUCGUGUGUGAAAGGCUCGGGCUCAACCCGAGGACGGCACAUGAUACUGCGAGACUAGAGUAAAGGAGAGGGAACCGGAACUCUCGGUGUAGCAGUGAAAUGCGUAGAUAUCGAGAGGAACACUCGUGGCGAAGGCGGGUUCCUGGACAUUAACUGACGCUGAGGCACGAAGGCCAGGGGAGCGAAAGGGAUUAGAUACCCUUGUAGUC
rnacentral:rRNA from 1 species